rnacentral:rRNA from 1 species
UUUGAUCAUGGCUCAGAUUGAACGCUGGCGGCAGGCCUAACACAUGCAAGUCGAGCGGUAGCACAGAGAGCUUGCUCUCGGGUGACGAGCGGCGGACGGGUGAGUAAUGUCUGGGAAACUGCCUGAUGGAGGGGGAUAACUACUGGAAACGGUAGCUAAUACCGCAUAACGUCGCAAGACCAAAGUGGGGGACCUUCGGGCCUCAUGCCAUCAGAUGUGCCCAGAUGGGAUUAGCUAGUAGGUGGGGUAACGGCUCACCUAGGCGACGAUCCCUAGCUGGUCUGAGAGGAUGACCAGCCACACUGGAACUGAGACACGGUCCAGACUCCUACGGGAGGCAGCAGUGGGGAAUAUUGCACAAUGGGCGCAAGCCUGAUGCAGCCAUGCCGCGUGUGUGAAGAAGGCCUUCGGGUUGUAAAGCACUUUCAGCGGGGAGGAAGGCGAUAAGGUUAAUAACCUUGUCGAUUGACGUACCCGCAGAAGAAGCACCGG